rnacentral:rRNA from 1 species
CGGGACGGGUGAGUAAUGCUUGGGAAUCUAGCUUAUGGAGGGGGAUAACUACGGGAAACUGUAGCUAAUACCGCGUAGAAUCGAGAGAUGAAAGUGUGGGACCUUCGGGCCACAUGCCAUAGGAUGAGCCCAAGUGGGAUUAGGUAGUUGGUGAGGUAAAGGCUCACCAAGCCGACGAUCUCUAGCCGGUCUAAGAGGAUGACCAGCCACACUGGGACUGAGACACGGCCCAG